GACGAACGCUGGCGGCGUGCCUAAUACAUGCAAGUCGAACGCAUUUUCUUUCACCGUAGCUUGCUACACCGAAAGAAAAUGAGUGGCGAACGGGGGAGUAACACGUGGGUAACCUGCCCAUCAGCGGGGGAUAACACUUGGAAACAGGUGCUAAUACCGCAUAAUUCCAUUUACUGCAUGGUAGAUGGAUGAAAGGCGCUUUUGCGUCACUGAUGGAUGGACCCGCGGUGCAUUAGCUAGUUGGUGGGGUAACGGCCUACCAAGGCUGCGAUGCAUAGCCGACCCGGGAAGGUGAUCGGCCACCCUGGGAAUGAGACACGGCCCAGAACCCUACGGGAGGCAGCAGUAGGGAAUCUUCGGCAAUGGACGCAAGUCUGACCGAGCAACGCCGCGUGAGUGAAGAAGGUUUUCGGAUCGUAAAACUCUGUUGUUAGAAAAGAACAAGGAUGAGAGUGGAAAGUUCAUCCCUUGACGGUAUCUAACCAGAAAGCCACGGCUAACUACGUG
rnacentral:rRNA from 1 species